UGGGGCUUGAACUCACGACCCGGAGAUCAAGACCUGGGCUGAGAUCCCGGAGUUGGAUGCUUAACGGACUGAGCCACCCAGGGGCCCCCAGUGUUUUGUGUUAUUAACCUGUCUUUCAACUGACACCGUGAAAAGGGCGUUUUAAGCCAGAUUUAAAGAGGACUUAAUCAAGUGGCUGACACAUAAUUUUUGAUGAUAGAUCGCGAUGCAGUUUUUGGCAUCCAUCUGGGGAGUUCAGAGAAGUGCGUGACCUCUACUUACUUAUGUGCAAAGGCUUCUCAGCGUGUGGGGAUAUAAAAAUGAA